rnacentral:rRNA from 1 species
UUUUAUGGAGAGUUUGAUCCUGGCUCAGAGUGAACGCUGGCGGCGUGCCUAAUACAUGCAAGUCGAACGAUGAAGCUUCUAGCUUGCUAGAAUGCUGAUUAGUGGCGCACGGGUGAGUAACGCAUAGGUCAUGUGCCUCUUAGUUUGGGAUAGCCAUUGGAAACGAUGAUUAAUACCAGAUACUCCCUACGGGGGAAAGAUUUAUCGCUAAGAGAUCAGCCUAUGUCCUAUCAGCUUGUUGGUAAGGUAAUGGCUUACCAAGGCUAUGACGGGUAUCCGGCCUGAGAGGGUGAACGGACACACUGGAACUGAGACACGGUCCAGACUCCUACGGGAGGCAGCAGUAGGGAAUAUUGCUCAAUGGGGGAAACCCUGAAGCAGCAACGCCGCGUGGAGGAUGAAGGUUUUAGGAUUGUAAACUCCUUUUGUUAGAGAAGAUAAUGACGGUAUCUAACGAAUAAGCACCGGCUAACUCCGUGCCAGCAGCCGCGGUAAUACGGAGGGUGCAAGCGUUACUCGGAAUCACUGGGCGUAAAGAGCGCGUAGGCGGGAUAGUCAGUCAGGUGUGAAAUCCUAUGGCUUAACCAUAGAACUGCAUUUGAAACUACUAUUCUAGAGUGUGGGAGAGGUAGGUGGAAUUCUUGGUGUAGGGGUAAAAUCCGUAGAGAUCAAGAGGAAUACUCAUUGCGAAGGCGACCUGCUGGAACAUUACUGACGCUGAUUGCGCGAAAGCGUGGGGAGCAAACAGGAUUAGAUACCCUGGUAGUCCACGCCCUAAACGAUGGAUGCUAGUUGUUGGAGGGCUUAGUCUCUCCAGUAAUGCAGCUAACGCAUUAAGCAUCCCGCCUGGGGAGUACGGUCGCAAGAUUAAAACUCAAAGGAAUAGACGGGGACCCGCACAAGCGGUGGAGCAUGUGGUUUAAUUCGAAGAUACACGAAGAACCUUACCUAGGCUUGACAUUGAGAGAAUCCGCUAGAAAUAGUGGAAUGUCUGGCUUGCCAGACCUUGAAAACAGGUGCUGCACGGCUGUCGUCAGCUCGUGUCGUGAGAUGUUGGGUUAAGUCCCGCAACGAGCGCAACCCCCUUUCUUAGUUGCUAACAGGUCAUGCUGAGAACUCUAAGGAUACUGCCUCCGUAAGGAGGAGGAAGGUGGGGACGACGUCAAGUCAUCAUGGCCCUUACGCCUAGGGCUACACACGUGCUACAAUGGGGUGCACAAAGAGAAGCAAUACUGCGAAGUGGAGCCAAUCUUCAAAACACCUCUCAGUUCGGAUUGUAGGCUGCAACUCGCCUGCAUGAAGCUGGAAUCGCUAGUAAUCGCAAAUCAGCCAUGUUGCGGUGAAUACGUUCCCGGGUCUUGUACUCACCGCCCGUCACACCAUGGGAGUUGUGUUUGCCUUAAGUCAGGAUGCUAAAUUGGCUACUGCCCACGGCACACACAGCGACUGGGGUGAAGUCGUAACAAGGUAACCGUAGGUGAACCUGCGGUUGGAUCACCUCCUUUCUA